AAGUCGUAACAAGGUAUCCGUAGGUGAACCUGCGGAUGGAUCAUUACCAAAGUAUCCUUCCAACGUAUUGUGAACUGUUUUGAACAGUGUCCUGCCUUACUGUACCUUACCGUAGUGAUCCGUCGCUACUGUAGCGGUCCGGUCGCGGCAGGACAGCCAAAAGUAACCUUUACUGAAGUAUCUUUCUAAUUGAAUGAAAGACAACUUUUAGCAAUGGAUCUCUUGGCUCUC
rnacentral:misc_RNA from 1 species